GCAGAGUUAAAACCUCGUACCUUUUGCAUCAUGACUUAGUGAGCAUAUUUAAGCAAAAUGAAUUUAAGUUUAAACACCCGAAACCAAGCGAGCUACUCCAAGGCAGCCUAUUAACUAGGGCACCCCCGUCUCUGUGGCAAAAGAGUGGGAAGACCUUCGAGUAGAGGUGACAAACCUACCGAGCCUGGUGAUAGCUGGUUACUUGAUAAAUGAAUAUUAGUUCAGCCCCCUGGAUUCUUUAUAAUCCUUAGGAGUUAGUCAAAAGGGGUACAGCCUUUUUGAUAAAAGAAACAACUUUAACCUGAGGAUAAAGAUCAUAAUUACACAAGGACUUGUUCUAAGGUGGGCCUAAAAGCAGCCAUCCUUGCAGAAAGCGUUAAAGCUCAAGAACUAAAUUAAGAUUUAUUCACUUAAUCCCUAACAACCACCAAGUCCUUCUAUACUGUAUAGAAAAGAUUAUGCUAACAUGAGUAACAAGAGCCGAAGCUCUCCAAGCACAAGCGUACAUCGGAUUAGACAACCUGCCGAAAAUUAAUGUCCCCAAACACAGAGUGAAAUGAAAACCAACAAGAAAAACUUACAACAUUAACCUUACACUAGCGUGCUAUAAAGGAAAGAUUAAAAAAAGAGGAAGGAACUCGGCAAACAAGCCUCGCCUGUUUACCAAAAACAUCGCCUCCUGCAAGUAUAGGAGGUCCCGCCUGCCCUGUGACUAUGGGUUCAACGGCCGCGGUAUUUUGACCGUGCAAAGGUAGCGCAAUCACUUGUCUUUUAAAUGAAGACCUGUAUGAAUGGCGAAACGAGGGCUCAACUGUCUCCCCCUUUUAAUCAGUGAAAUUGAUCUCCCCGUGCAGAAGCGGGGAUACCACCAUAAGACGAGAAGACCCUGUGGAGCUUUAGAUAUAUAAAGGGAUUAUACCAAAUUUGCCUUCUAAACAGGCUAAACUAAUUAAUAUCCUUUUUGCUGUCUUUGGUUGGGGCGACCACGGGGAAAAAUAAAACCCCCACGCGGAUAAAAAGAACUUUUACAGAGUAGAGCCUCAGCUCUACAACACAGAACUUCUGACCUUCAGAUCCGGCCAUGCCGAUCAACGGACCGAGUUACCCCAGGGAUAACAGCGCAAUCCUCUUUAAGAGCCCAUAUCGACAAGGGGGUUUACGACCUCGAUGUUGGAUCAGGACAUCCUAAUGGUGCAG
rnacentral:rRNA from 1 species